AAUGUGGAUAUGCGAAUUUAACAGGAGAACAAGCAUUCCAAGAAUCGGAGGAUUUUUCGAUCGAAAUUAUUGUUUGAUUCGUUUUUGCUUCAACUGGAUUUAUCUUUUUCUGAUUUGUUGAACUGAAUUGGCCAAAGUUUUGUAAACAGAGGAAGAAAUGGAGUACGAAGUGGAAGGGGAAGCGAAAGUGUGUCCCAAUCAAGGAAGUCCAGGGAUUUCCCUGCCGAGGAAUAGUGAUUGAAGCAUUAUAAAGCAUAAAGAUGCUAGUGGGCGGAGCUUUUUCCAAUGCUGUUUCUACACAUUCAUUAGCCUAAGCUCUGGACAUCCCGAAGAUCCAUUCAUUGGGCCUCUGUGUCCAUGCCGAGUAUUAGUUAUAGGAAAUUAAGGAUCAUGGAGCAGUAAAAGUCGUGAUAAGUAAGCACCAAUAAUUUGCCCAACCCAUUUGCUAAUGGUCCAUUUACUACAAGAAAUGCACCUUAUAUUGCUUUCUUUCUAGCUCAGUAUUUUUUUUUUUUUAGUUGACCAAUGAGACGUUUAGUAGUUGGCAGCCUGAUUCAACAACAUGACUAAUAGGAAGUUGGCCACUUGGAUUACUGGACCAAAGUCAAAUCCCAUCACUCUUUAUUGGAAAAAGCUUAUUCAGUAAUGAUGCUUACUAGUUUUCAAUUGCUGAAGUGAGAGGAAGGUUGAAUAUCUUCCCUAAAUGUUCUAAACUUCUAUUAUCUUUUCCUUCUUUAUUUAGUUUUUGAGUGGAAACUUGUUGAAAAGGAAUUUCUGCAGUGUUUCUGGUCCCCAAAAGAAACAACUAAUCUCUCUUUUACUUGUAGGACUUUAUUUUCCUCAUUUGAUUGUCCAGCUCUAAGAGUUUCUUGUAGAAAAUCUCAUUUGUUCAAAGACAAAAAUAACUGUUAUUUGAGAUAGGAAGGAUUGAGUUCAAGAAUUUCU